AGGGUGCUGUUCUCCACUGAGCCUGUCUCCAGGCUCUGGAGCUGAUGACUGAUCUGGGAGCUUAACAAAUGAGGAGGUGACCCAGGGAAGCCAAGGGCAAGUGGCUUUUGAGGGGUGCUCCUGAACUUCUCGGGCUAGCCACAUCAGUGGCACCCUCCCAGUUGCCACAUACACAUUCUCCAGAUGUUUCCAAGUGUCCCAGGGCAGCUAGUCACCCCUGGUUGAGAACAAUGCUCCAGAGGGCACUCAACACUAUGGGAACAAACUGGCGUCCAGGGAGCCAUCUAAGCCUGUGAUCAACUCCAGUAGAAAUCAGAGAAUCUGAACAGGAACAGUGAAUGAAGGAAAAUGAAAUAAAUACAGGAAGACAGGAAAAGAGAUUCACACGGUCCCCUACCAGCAGAAUCAACAUCAGCUGCUGUGACGGUUCAUCCUGUUGACUCCAUCUCCGUGGAAACGUGGAGACUGAUUGAUUGAGGUGGGAAGACCCACCUCCAUGUGGGUGGUGCCAUUCCCUAGGCUGGGGUCCUAAAUGAACACAAAGGAUGAAGGCAGCUGAGCACCAGUGCCCAUCUCUCUGCUUCCUGACUAUGGACCAGAUGUGGCCAGCUGCCUCAUGCUCCAUGGCCAUGAUAGACCGUGUCCCCUGGAACCAUGAGCCAGCGUGACCUUUUCCUUCCUUAACUUGCUUAUGUAAAGUGUUUUGUCACAGCAAUGAAAUCAGUGAGGCCAGGGACCUAGUAGAAAUGUAGAUACUUGGGCCCUGCCCAGAUCUGCCAAAUCAGAAGCUCUGUGGAUUGGGCCCCGGAAAUAAAAUUUCCUGGCUCGUUAUGGUAAUUCUGAUGCUUGCCUAAGUGUGAAGACCACACUGCCUUAAGAGAAAGGGUGAGGUACUAGGAGUGACAAGAAAUGAGGAAACAAUGUUUUGUGUGUGUGUGUGUGUGUGUGUGUGUGUGUGUGUGUGUAUGUGUGAAUGCAUGUGCCUGCCUUUGUAGAUCUGUAUAGAGGGCAGGGUUUGAUAACGGCCAUCUUACUUUUUUGUUUGUUUGAUUUGGUUUUUUGAGACAGGGUUUCUCUGUGUAACAGC